UGUUUCUCUAUAUGCCCUAGCCAUUCUACGAGCCAUAUCUGUUGCAUUUUCACAUACAUCAUACUUUUUCUUUGCUUAAAGAAAACGUGCAAAUAUUUAAACUUUCAUAUCAUGCAAUUCCCUUUAAGCCCUUAGCUUUUGCCCAAGUCCAUUACAUAUCUUUAAAUAACACAUCUCUAAAUCAUAUCAAAGCAUCAUAACAUAAACAUAAUCAUUAACUUUAAACAUGAACAUACCUGGGCCAUAGGAUGAGAUUGAUGGAUGGAUGCACGAUGUCAUGGAAUACCUUAAACUUUUCAUUUUCCUUUU
rnacentral:lncRNA from 1 species